rnacentral:rRNA from 1 species
UACGUAGGGGGCUAGCGUUGUCCGGAUUUAUUGGGCGUAAAGAGCGUGUAGGCGGCCAGGUAGGUCUGCUGUGAAAACUCGAGGCUCAACCUCGAGACGUCGGCGGAAACCAUCUGGCUAGAGUCCGGAAGAGGAGAGUGGAAUUCCGUGGUGUAGCGGUGAAAUGCGCAGAUAUCAGGAAGAACACCCCGUGGCGAAGGCGGCUCUCUGGGACGGUACUGACGCUGAGACGCGAAAGCGUGGGGAGCGAACAGG